AUUUUGAUUUUGUAAUCUGCAUUGCGAAAUUUUGUUGGUGAGAAUUUCAAUAAAAACCAUUUACUUUUAUCUCCAGCGAAAUCUGUUGCAAAUGACUUACGAAAUAUGCUACUCUGCAUCCUGACAAUCCCCAGAUUGUCUGCAGAUCUCGCGCAUCAUACUGUGGAGUAUACUGUAUGCCAGCCACAUCUUGCAACAUCCUCGACUGCCAUCAGAACUGGGUUCGCCGUUUGCCACUCGUCCGGAUCUUCUGACUAUGUCGGCCGGUUGGGAUAAGGUUCUACUUUCUUGACAGAUUUGUGGGCUCGUACGUGUUUGGCUUGUGCGUGUUGUCUUCCGCGUGAAUUUUCGUAUCGGAUCCUGUUUACUACCUAGCGAUGCUGUGGUUUCACUUUUCAUUGCAUCGCUGCGCAGCCUUUCGUUAUAUUGCGUCGCCAUUAUCAAGUUAACCCGGGGAAGUUUCUCUCUGCUCUUUCUCUUUUGACGGAAUCACCAAGAGCUGCCGUCGACGACGUAUAACGGACGAAAGAAUGGUCUAAAGAAUGGAUCCGUUGUCUUGUGAAUUUGUACGAUACCGAGAGCCUCAAUUUUUUGUUGACACUUCAAGAGAAAGAAGAAAAGCGUUUGCGUGAGAAAGGAACCUGCUAUCUUGACAAGUUUGAGGAUCUGCUCCCGUAUGCUAGAACGUCCGUUGGCCGGAGCCUUACUUCAAGCCGUGCGGAACUGUACACUUCAACCACAACUGAAUUUGAACUGCAACGAAUGCUUCUG